GUGCCGGUUGUUGCUCACCAGUUUUCCUUCAGGAGAUUUUGAUGUGGCAUAUGUCAGUCAAAAGCUGAAAAGGGUCACUCACGUGUGGGCCAGUGUGUCAGAUAAAUAUUGUAUGUGCAUGUAAGCAUGAGAGCUAACU